rnacentral:rRNA from 1 species
AACGCUAGCUACAGGCUUAACACAUGCAAGUCGAGGGGAAACGACAUCGAAAGCUUGCUUUUGAUGGGCGUCGACCGGCGCACGGGUGAGUAACGCGUAUCCAACCUGCCCACCACUUGGGGAUAACCUUGCGAAAGUAAGACUAAUACCCAAUGACGCCUCUAGAAGACAUCUGAAAGGGAUUAAAGAUUUAUCGGUGAUGGAUGGGGAUGCGUCUGAUUAGCUUGUUGGCGGGGUAACGGCCCACCAAGGCUACGAUCAGUAGGGGUUCUGAGAGGAAGGUCCCCCACAUUGGAACUGAGACACGGUCCAAACUCCUACGGGAGGCAGCAGUGAGGAAUAUUGGUCAAUGGGCGAGAGCCUGAACCAGCCAAGUAGCGUGCAGGACGACGGCCCUAUGGGUUGUAAACUGCUUUUAUAAGGGAAUAAAGUGAGUCUCGUGAGACUUUUUGCAUGUACCUUAUGAAUAAGGACCGGCUAAUUCCGUGCCAGCAGCCGCGGUAAUACGGAAGGUCCGGGCGUUAUCCGGAUUUAUUGGGUUUAAAGGGAGCGUAGGCCGGAGAUUAAGCGUGUUGUGAAAUGUAGACGCUCAACGUCUGCACUGCAGCGCGAACUGGUUUCCUUGAGUACGCACAAAGUGGGCGGAAUUCGUGGUGUAGCGGUGAAAUGCUUAGAUAUCACGAAGAACUCCGAUUG